GUCGAACGAAGCAUUUAGAACGGAUUACUUCGGUUUGAAGUUCUAUCUGACUGAGUGGCGGACGGGUGAGUAACGCGUGGGUAACCUGCCUCAUACAGGGGGAUAACAGUUAGAAAUGACUGCUAAUACCGCAUAAGCGCACGGUUUCGCAUGGAACAGUGUGAAAAACUCCGGUGGUAUGAGAUGGACCCGCGUCUGAUUAGCUGGUUGGCGGGGUAACGGCCCACCAAGGCGACGAUCAGUAGCCGGCCUGAGAGGGUGAACGGCCACAUUGGGACUGAGACACGGCCCAAACUCCUACGGGAGGCAGCAGUGGGGAAUAUUGCACAAUGGGGGAAACCCUGAUGCAGCGACGCCGCGUGAAGGAAGAAGUAUUUCGGUAUGUAAACUUCUAUCAGCAGGGAAGAAAAUGACGGUACCUGACUAAGAAGCCCCGGCUAACUACGUGCCAGCAGCCGCGGUAAUACGUAGGGGGCAAGCGUUAUCCGGAUUUACUGGGUGUAAAGGGAGCGUAGGCGGUAAUGCAAGUCAGAAGUGAAAGCCCGGGGCUCAACUCCGGGACUGCUUUUGAAACUGUGUUGCUAGAUUGCAGGAGAGGUAAGUGGAAUUCCUAGUGUAGCGGUGAAAUGCGUAGAUAUUAGGAGGAACACCAGUGGCGAAGGCGGCUUACUGGACUGUAAAUGAC
rnacentral:rRNA from 1 species